AGGAACAAUACUAUCCUUGGCUAGUUUGUGGCGAUUUUAAUGAAAUAAUGUAUUCUUUUGAAAAAAAAAGGGAGGUCAGCCGAGGGAGGAGAAAAGGAUGGAAGCAUUCUGCGAAGUACUAGAAGAAUGUCAACUUAUUGAUGUGGGUUAUACGAGAGUAUGGUAUACGUGGGAGAGAGGGAAUCUACCAAGUACAAAUAUUAGAGAAAGACUGGAUAGGGGUGUUGCAAAUGAAAAAUGGAUGAAACUUUUCCCAAGAGGCAAUAUACAUCACUUAACGUCUUCACUUUCUGAUCAUUGCCCUCUUUUCAUUAACACAACCAAUGCUGAUAGUAUCAAAUGAACUCCAAGAUUUAAAUUUGAGGCAUGGUGGACUGCAGAGGAGUCGAUUGAAGAAAAGAUUAGGAAAUCAUGGGAGUCGUCAAGUGGAUCUCUAGUUGUAACACCCUAACCUGUAUCCGUCAUCGAAUUAGGGUUAAGAGGCAUUACUAAUCAAAACAGAACUUAAAACAGACAUUCAGUAUAGUUCAAUAAUUUUAACGGUUACAUAUAAAUUGCUAGGUCUAAUAUUAAACAUGCAAAAUUUUAAACUUCUCUUUAAAAUUACAAUCCAGUUAAAGCAUAAGAAUAUAAGCCAUUUUUGUAUGGCUAUUAAUUUCAUAUACAAUAUAUCAAAGUACGACUUUCCAAAACAUUUAUCUAGCCUGUACAUGUCAUAAUUAAAAUUUAAACAGUUUAAUACCGAGACAGUAGAUAGAGUAAUGAUAUUGCUGACGAUCCCCGAGCUUGAAGCUUGAUCUUUAAGUAUAUAAAACAGAAAGACAUAAACAAACAAAGUAAGCUUUUAUAGCUUAGUAAGUCUAUUGCAUAAUGAAAUAUAUAUAUAAAUAAUAUAACUUUUUAAUUUAAUUUACUGAGAUUGCAAUUAACACAUAUAAUUAAUAUUUAUACAUUUACUGUACUCAGACCAUUUUAUUUAUAGUCAAAUAUAUGUACAUGUCGAAAUGCGUUCAAUUGAAUAUAUAUAUAUAUUUAUACCAAACAACAUUACAACCAAAUGAAUAUAACCGAGCAUAUAUGUAUGUUAUACACAUAUCAUAUCCAACUGUGUAUGUAUACUCAUAAUAAACUUAUAACCAAAUACAAAUCUAAUACAUGUGACCGAAUGCAUUCAUCUUCAUCAAAUAAUUAUAAAUAGAGGUGUAUACAUUUCGAAUGCAUAUGUAGAUACUUAUCAAAUACAUAUAUCGAAUAUUUAUACGUAUACAUUUAUCGACUGCAUAAAUCGAAAGCAUGUAUGUAUAUUUUACAAAUGCAUAGACCGAAUAUGUACAUAUUCAUUAAACACACUUAGUCGAAGGUAUAUAUGCUCAUCAAUUAAAGAUAACCAAAAUCAUAUAACUGUACACUUAAUCACAUACUUUAAACAGCUGGCAGUUAGCCUGCUAGACUUAAAGCCUGAUUCAGUACACCGGCACUUAGCAUGCUAGACAUAUAGUCUGAAAUGUUUCACCGGCAUUAAGCCUACUAGACGUAAAGUCUGAUAUUGUUUCACCGGCAUUUAAGCCUGCUAGACAUAAAGUCUGAUAUUGUUUCACUGGCAAUAAGCCUGCUAGGCGCUAAGCCUGAAAUCUCAAUUUCACAUACACAAAAUAAUUUCUCGAAAAAUUCUUCAUAGCAAACACAUGUUUGUUGUAGUCCAUGUUUAAUCAUAAAAGAGUUUACAAAUCAUACUGUCAAUUCAAUUCAAGUAUUUAUAAAUUUAUAAACAUAUAUAUAUAAUUGAACCUCACAUAUGAAAAUAUAAGAUUUUAUAUCUUUAAUUCAAUCUAAGAACCUAUAUACGAAUAUACAUAUAGAUAUAUUCGAACUCUCAUAUACGUAUUUAACAUUUAUACCUUUAGCUAAAAUCAUAAACUCAUACAUGUAUAUACAUUUAUAUUCGAAUCUAUAUGUAUAUAUACACAUUCUUGUCUUUAUCUAAGUUCAUAAUUUAUUCAUGUAUAUAUACAUAUAUAUAAUUACUUAACUAAAUUCAAUACAAGAAAUUUACAUGUAUAUAUACACGCUUAAUCGAAAAUAACAUAUAUAUUUAAUUUCAUACCUAAGUUCAAUAUAAAACAUAUAUAUGUAUAUUCAUACAUAUUCAAAACUCCACAUGCAUACUUAACAUUCAUACCUUAAAAUAUAUUCAAGAUUUAUUCAAGUAUUUUCAUAUACAUUCGAACCCACAUAUACAUACUUAUUCGAAAUUACCUACACAAUUACAAUAUACUUACCUUUAAUUAAACCAAUAAUUUAUACAUGUAUAUACAUAUAUGUAUUCGAACCUUGUGUAUACAUAUAUAACCCUCACACAAUCAACUAAAUUCAAGAACAUAUACAUAUAGAUACAUAUAUAAAUAUUCGAACAUUAUAUAUAUAUCUAUAUACCAUUCAUACUUUAACUUAAUUCAAAAAUUUAUAUAAGUAUAUACCUAUAUAUUCGAACAUUGUAUAUACAUAUAUACCAUUUAUACUUCAAUUUUUUUUAAUCAAAUUACUUUUAUUUAUAGCUCAACAAAAAUACAAUAGAUAUACAUACACACACACACACACACAUACUGAUUUGAUAUCAUUAAAUAGCUAAUAAACUUACCUCGGACAGUGUAAAAUCGAAACCGAACGAUUAGUCGACGACUUUAACUUUUCCCCAAUCUAACUCCGAUUUUUUUUGUUCUUGAACUAAAUAUAUUCAAAAUGAGAUAAAUUAAAUAUUAUUACAUUCAAUUUAGUCCAAAAACACAUAAAUGGGAAAAUUACCAUUUUACCCCUGAUAUUUACAUUUUUUUGCAAUUUAGUCCCUAUUACAUAAAACACAAAAUACACAAAAUUUGCCCAUACUAUACAAGGGCCGAAUGUUCCUAGUGCUCAUACAAGUCCACAAAUUUCAUUUAUUUCAUAUUUUAGUCCCUCAAAAUUUUAAUUUCACAAUUUAGCCCUAAUUACUCAAUUUCACAAAAAUUCAAAGACAAAACACGUUAAUCUUUCACAUAUCUUUCAUAUUUCAUCAUCAACUAUCACAAAGCUCAAGCAUUCAUCAAUAGCAUAUCACAAAAUCAACACCAAAUUCUAAAAUUAAAGCAUGGGUCUUGUAGUACACAAAGCAACGAUCUCAAAAACGUAAAAAUUUUCAAAAACCGAACAAAAACAAACCUUUAAUUAAGCAAGGAUAUGGCCGAACUUUAGAAAGCCAUAGUUGAGCUUCUUUUUGCUUAACAUUCGGCUUGGAGAAGAUGAUAAAAUCAUCUUUUCUUAAGUUCUUUUAACUAAUAUAUAUUUUAAUUACUUAAUGACUACUUUAACCUUAGUUUAAUUAAUUAUAAAACAUAUAACUUAAGGGCAAUUUAGACCAUUGCAGCCCACUAACUAUUAAACGGCCUAAUUUCCAUUUAUAACCCUUAUUUUUAAAAGACAACAACAAUUGGGUGCUUUUAAAUUUAACCCUUAAAUUUUUAUUUUACGCGGUUAAGCCCUUUUUAUCAAAUUGUGCACUCAAACGAUCAAAUUUUUAUACAAAAUUUUUACACAUAGUAAUUCACAUACUGAAAAUAUCAAAAAUAAUUUUAAAAUAAUUUUUUGACUUGGAUUUGUGGUCCCGAAACAACUUUGUCCGAUUAGGGUCAAGAUCGGGUUGUUACACUAGUUGAAAAAUUUGAAAGACUACAGAUCAGCCUGUCAAGAUGGGCAAAAUCAAUAAAGACUGACGAAUAAAUUCACAAAGGAGCUAGAGAAUUUAAUGGAGAAAGAAAGAGAUGACGAUACAAUGGCACAGAUAAUUAAUACCAGAAUCCAUUUAAAUAUGGAAAUUGAUAAAGAUGAGAUGUAUUGGGAACAAAGAGCAAAAGCAAAUUGGCUUCAGCUAGGGGAUAAGAAUACGACAUUUUUUCACAAAUAUGCCUCAAUACGAAAGCGAAUUAACAUGAUAAACAGGCUGGACACAGAUGAUGGAAAGGAGAUUUUUGAAGAACCAGAAAUAAUUGAGACUGCCACAACGUACUUCUAGAAUCUUUUUUUGUCUAAUGGGGUAGGGAAUCUAUCUCACUUUUUAUCAGGUAUCAAGACUAGCAUUUCUUCCGACAUCAACACAAUUCUAUUGGCAAAAUAUACGGCAGAAGAGAUCUUUAGUGGCUUUCCGGCACUUUUCUUUCAAAAAUACUGGCAUAUUGUGGGAAAAGAUAUCGAAGGUUUUUGCUUGGAAGUUUUGAAUGACGGUAAAAUUUUUGAAUAUUCAAACUAACUGAGAUAGUAUUGGAAGAUGUAUUGACAAUGCUCAAAGUGCGUUCAUUCCGGGAAGAUUAAUUUCCGAUAAUGUGCUAAUUGCCUAUGAAAUUCUACAUACACUUCGGUAAAAAAGAACUAGGAAAAAAGGAUUCAUGGCAGUGAAGCUAAACAUGAGCAAAGCCUAUGAUAGAGUUGAGUGGGCAUUCUUGAAGGAAGUAACGCUUCGUAUGGGUUUUGCAGAGGAAUGGGUGUAAUUAAUUAUGAGAUGUAUUUCUACAGUCUCUUACGUAGUAAAUAUCAAUGGGAGGAGAGGUAAUGUCUUAAAACCUACUAGAGGAUUCCGACAAGGUGACCCACUUAGCCCUUUUCUUUUUCUGAUUUGUAGUGAGGGACUUUCGUCCUUACUUAGGACAGCAACAGCAGGGGAUUUGAUAAAAGGAGUUAAGGCUAAUAGAAGGGGCCCGGCGAUUUCACAUUUACUAUUUACGGAUGAUUGUAUCCUAUUUAGUGAAGCUACAAAAAAUAGAACAACGAUCUUAAAAGAUAUUCUGAAGGAAUAUGAGAUGUGCUCAGGUCAAUGUGUGAACUUUAACAAGUCCACGAUUUUCUUCAGCUCCAAUACAGUGGAAAGGGAAAAAGAAGUUAUCUCAACUGAUAUGGGAAUCAGACGUUCAAAGAAUAUGGAGAAAUACCUAGGAUUGCCUAAUAUGGUAAGAAGGCAAAAGAAGGAAUCUUUUCAGAACCUCAAGGAUAGGAUUAAGCAAAGGAUCGAGAAUUAGAGUACACGGCUUCUAUCAUAAGGGGGAAAAGAGGUUUUUAUAAAAUCAGUUCUUCAGGCAAUACCAACUUAUGCUAUGGCAUGCUUUCUUCUACCAAAAUCAUUAUGUGGGGAGUUUGAAAAUACUUUUGCUAGAUUCUAGUGGCAAAAAUGUCAAAGAAAGAAAGGAAUUCAUUGGUGUAAAUGGAAGACUGUGUGCAACUUUAAAGAGAAGGGAGGAAUGGGAUUUAGAGAUAUGGCUCAGUUUAAUAUUUCCUUACUAGCUAAACAAGGUUGGAGAAUUAUUAAUAAUCAGGAUGGUCUUGUUACGCAAGUAUUCAAAGCUAAAUAUUUCCCAAAUGACCAUUUUUUAAAUUCCCGUUUGGGAAAUUCUUGCUCCUAUGUGUGGAAAAGUAUUAGGGCAGCAAAGGCUCUACUGGCAAAAGGACUAUGCUGGAGGGUUGGUACGGGUUCUAAUAUAUCCGUUAAUGAUGAUGCUUGGAUUCCGGAUGCAGCAAAUUUUAGAUUAUCAACAGUGAACAAUUCAAUGCGUGAUUUUAAAGUAAAUGAAUUAAUUGAUAGUAACAAGAGGCUUUGGAAGAGGGAAUUGAUAAAUAGUACCUUCACAGAAGAAGACGCUGUAAGAAUCCUUCGAAUCCCUCUGGCACGAACGCCUCAUGAGGAUUUCCUCAUUUGGGGAGGUGAAUUGUUGGGUGAGUUCACAGUCCGAAGUGCCUAUAAACUAUUACAGAGCUCAGAUAAAAAUCCUAGCGCUUAUGCGUUACAAUUUAUCUAUAGGAAAUUUUACAAAAAACUUUGGGGCCUGAAUCUACCAACAAAAAUAAAAAUUACAAUAUGGAGAAUAUCAUGGAACUUUUUGCCUACAAAAGUGAAUUUACAACACAGGAAGCUAUCAACUAGUACAAGCUGCCCCCGGUGUGAAGCAAGAGCUGAAACAAUGGACCACCUAUUUCGAAAGUGCCCUGUUGCAAUAGAAGUAUGGAUAGUGUAAUACCCAAUUUUAGCCCGGGCUCACAUAUGGAAACAUAAUUUUUGAGGAUAUGCAAUCUUAGAUAUGAUAUGCAAUAUUAGAUAUGAUAUAUAAUCUUAGAUAUGAUAUGCAAUCUUAGAAUAUAUGAUUUUGUAAUCUUAGAGAUUUAAUUUGUAGAUACCCUUUAAUCUCACCCGUUGAUGUAACUGAUUUGUACCGUUGGAUUUUGGGAGGCUCAGGUAUAAAUAAAUGCCUCUCCUUUCAUUGUGAAAAAAAAAAAAGAGAAAAGAGGAGGAGGAAUAAAAAAGAACGAUUGGCAGUUUUUUAAACGUGGCUUACUAUUUUUUUCUUUCGAUUAUUAUUUACUUAUUUACGAUUUUAAAAAAGGGAGAAGGUGAUACCACUGCGAAUUUUAUUUAUUUUUUUUAUUUAGCCCCUCCGCCUUUAAAUGUCUUUAUAAUUAGGUUAUUUUUAUUUUUUUAAAUUCACUCUUUAAUUUAUUUUAAUUUCAAUUUAACCCUUCUUGAACGACACCGUUUUAGAGGAGAAGGGAAAAUUGCCCUUCCAGCCCCUCUAUGUAAUUCGCGCGUUCAAUUUGGUCCUCCAGACUUUAUUUAUUUGCGGAUUCACCCCUGUUUUUUUACUUGCUACCCAAUUUAGUCCUUUUUUUUCCAUAUUUUUCUUAAAAUCAGUAUUUCUAAUAAUUUUUUUAUAAAAUUAUUGUUAUUAUUAUAUGUAUAUAUACAAAUAUGUUUCUUUUGUAUGUAUUUAUACCUUAAAAACUAAUAUUUUUUUUGUAUACUUUUAGACACAUGUUUUAUUAAUUUUGAUAUUAUUUUAAUUAUUUUAAACUUACAUAUUUUCAUGGGUACAUGUAUAUUUUUUGUUUAUUUCAAUCAUCUGUCUAUUAAUUUAGGUUUACGUGUUUUUUUAUCAUGUCCAUUUAUUUGAUAUUUUGCAGGCCAUUAUUUUAUUUAUUUGUUCAUAUAUUUGCAUUAUUUCUAUGCUAUCGUAGUAUUUAUUAUUGCAUUAUAUAUUUAAUGUAGCAUAACAUUACAUUUUUUACUCGAUUUUUUUAAAAAAAUCAAACUUUUUUUAAAAUGGAUAUUCUUUUAAUCAAAAUAAGAGCUCAUUAUUGGGAAUUCAACACAUUGUGUCCUAACGUAUUGGAUGUAACGCAUUGAUUUCUCGAAAUGAAGAUUUUUUAAAAAUCGUAAAGGAAAUAUUCCGAGUUUGGGAUUCUAAAGGAAUCGUGCCCUAACGUAUUGGGUGUGAUUUCUUAAAUCUUGGAUAAGCGGAUGUUCUUGGAUAAGGAAAUAUUUCGAGUUUGGGAUUCUAAAGGAAUCGUGCCCUAACGUAUUGGGUGUGAUUUCUUAAAUCUUGGAUAAGUAGAUGUUCCUUUAAAGUUUUAUUGUACAAGUAUUUUGGCCCAAUUUAUUUUUGGGGGAAAAUUAGAAUGCUGUGCCCUAACGCAUUGGGUGUGGUAUCUUAUUUCUCUGAAAUAAUAAGGGUCUUAAUAUGUAGCCUUUUAAGUUUUGCUAAGGAUUACGUUUUUUCCAAAUUCUCUACCUUAAGACACUAAUUAAUUAACUAGGUACCAAUUUUGGGCGUUACGAGAGUGCUAAUCCUUCCUCAUACGUAACUGACUCCCAGAUCUGUUUUUCUAAAACUCGUAGACCAAUGCCGUUUUUUUUAGGUGAUCCAAUCACACCCUAAUAAAGAUUGGUGGCGACUCCCAAUUUUAAUUUUUUAAAAAGUCGACAACCUAAAACAUUUUUGUUUUUCAAAAGAUGGUUUCGACAGAUAACAUUAUCAAUUUAGAAUAUUAUAAUGGCCCAGAGCAUGGAUUUCGUACAGUGGAUUACUUAGGGGUUAGAACAACUCAACCCUUGUCAAAGCCGUUUAUUCUGCUGCGCAUUGUGGGCCAUAUGGGGAGAUCGAAACAGGAGAAUACACGAAGGAAAAGUUAGUAAUGGGAAAGAAAUUGCAAAUUUCACCAGCAAUUGCAUUAUUGAGCUAACUGGUUUUGAAAAAAAGGAAAUUGGCAAAAAAUUAUAGAAAACAAGAGAUGACAGCACCCACAUAGUGAGUUCAUAAAGAUAAAUUUCGAUGGAGCAUAUAAUGAGAGUCAGUAUUGUUCAGCCUCAGGUAUUGUGGCCAGAGAUGCUGAAGGAAGAGUUCUGUUAUCCUAUUUAGAGAUACAAAGUAACAUUACCUCUGCAUUUGCGGCGGAAGCAAUAGCUUGCUGGAGAGCGAUUCAAAUAGGAGUUGAUAGGGGAUUGCAGUCAGUCAUCUGUGAAGGAGAUUCCCUCGCAGUAAUUAAAAAAUGCAAUAUAAAAGGUCAAGAUCGAUCAAUGAUAGGGGUAUAUAUUCAUGAUAUUCAACAGAAAAUAAGUGAGUUCAACAGCAUCAGAUUUCAACAUACACCAAGAUCUGCAAAUAAUCUUGCACAUAUUCUUGCAACAGAAACCCUAAGAAGGAAAGAGGAGGUAUACCUGGAAAUGGAGGUUCCUGAGUAUGCCAAAGAUCAAAGAAGAUAUGAUCGGUUGCGUGAACCAAAUUAGAAAGCGCCAGGAGAUGAAGAAAGGAAGGAAGAAAGCUUCAAAACAAAAAGAAAGUGAAACGAUUUAGAAGGAAAAGUUUUGAAAGAAGAAAUCGUCAAACUGAAAAUGAAAUGAUGGAAAAAAGAGAAGACAGAUUUCAGCAAAUUCUGAUUGGGUAAUGGAUCGGUGCAU
rnacentral:lncRNA from 1 species